GAAAGUCUGACGGAGCAACGCCGCGUGAGUGAUGAAGGCUUUCGGGUCGUAAAACUCUGUUGUUAGGGAAGAACAAGUGCUAGUUGAAUAAGCUGGCACCUUGACGGUACCUAACCAGAAAGCCACGGCUAACUACGUGCCAGCAGCCGCGGUAAUACGUAGGUGGCAAGCGUUAUCCGGAAUUAUUGGGCGUAAAGCGCGCGCAGGUGGUUUCUUAAGUCUGAUGUGAAAGCCCACGGCUCAACCGUGGAGGGUCAUUGGAAACUGGGAGACUUGAGUGCAGAAGAGGAAAGUGGAAUUCCAUGUGUAGCGGUGAAAUGCGUAGAGAUAUGGAGGAACACCAGUGGCGAAGGCGACUUUCUGGUCUGUAACUGACACUGAGGCGCGAAAGCGUGGGGAGCAAACAGGAUUAGAUACCCUGGUAGUCCACGCCGUAAACGAUGAGUGCUAAGUGUUAGAGGGUUU
rnacentral:rRNA from 2 species